rnacentral:rRNA from 1 species
AGUGAACGCUGGCGGUAGGCCUAACACAUGCAAGUCGAACGGCAGCACAGUAAGAGCUUGCUCUUACGGGAGGCGAGUGGCGGACGGGUGAGGAAUACAUCGGAAUCUACUUUUUCGUGGGGGAUAACGUAGGGAAACUUACGCUAAUACCGCAUACGACCUACGGGUGAAAGUAGGGGAUCUUCGGACCUUGCGCGAUUGAAUGAGCCGAUCUCGUAGUAGCUAGUUGGCGGGGUAAAGGCCCACCAAGGCGACGAUCCGUAGCUGGUCUGAGAGGAUGAUCGGCAACCCGGGAACGGAGACACGGUCCAGAAUCCGACGGGAGGCAGCAGUGGGGAAUAUUGGACAAGGGGCGGAAGCCUGAUCCAGCCAAACCGCGUGGGUGAAGAGGGCCUUCGGGUUGUAAAGCCCUUUUGUUGGGAAAGAAAAGCAGCAGGUUAAUACCCCGCUGUUCUGACGGUACCCAAAGAAUAAGCACCGGCUAACUUCGU